rnacentral:rRNA from 1 species
CCUACGGGGUGCAGCAGUGGGGAAUAUUGCACAAUGGGGGAAACCCUGAUGCAGCGACGCCGCGUGAGUGAAGAAGUAAUUCGUUAUGUAAAGCUCUAUCAGCAGGGAAGAAAAUGACGGUACCUGAGUAAGAAGCCCCGGCUAACUACGUGCCAGCAGCCGCGGUAAUCCGGAGGGGGCCAGCGUUAUCCGGCUUUACUGGGUGUAAAGGGGGCGUAGACGGCAGUGCAAGUCUGGAGGGAAAGGCGGGGGCUCAACCCCCGGACUGCUCUGGAAACUGUACGGCUGGAGUGCAGGAGAGGUAUGCGGAAUUCGUAGUGUAGCGGUGAAAUGCGUAGAUAUUAGGAGGAACACCAGUUGCGAAGGCGGCCUACUGGACGGUGACUGACGCUGAGGCUCGAAAGCGUGGGGAGCAAACAGGAUUAGAUACCCCAGUAGUC